rnacentral:rRNA from 1 species
UAUAGCCUACGGGACGCAGCAGUGAGGAAUAUUGGUCAAUGGGCGGGAGCCUGAACCAGCCAAGUCGCGUGAGGGAAGACGGUCCUAUGGAUUGUAAACCUCUUUUGUCGGGGAGCAAAGAGGCCACGUGUGGUCAAAAGCGAGAGUACCCGAAGAAAAAGCAUCGGCUAACUCCGUGCCAGCAGCCGCGGUAAUACGGAGGAUGCGAGCGUUAUCCGGAUUUAUUGGGUUUAAAGGGUGCGUAGGCGGGGCGGUAAGUCAGCGGUAAAAAUGCGGAGCUCGACUCCGUCGAGCCGGUGACACUG